rnacentral:lncRNA from 1 species
CCUGCCCUACUUAUAUACAGUUACGCAUUUGUCAUUUGAAAAUAACUCAGCGCAGAACAUGAACAUUUAGGGUGGAGUGGGGAAUGGAGUCAAGGGUGAGGUGUCAGAAGUUCCUAGAUAACCAGAGCCACAGGGGCCUCUCUUUGUCAGUGCUCUCUGUACCAUAGCACAUGGCUGUUUUGAAGCUAAGUUGAGCUUAUACUUAUUUCAAAAUAAGUAUUGUGUCUGAUUCCCCAAAAAGCAUGGUGUCCCAGUUACUGACUCACCUCUGAUCUGCACUUUUCCAAACUAGAACUUUAUAACACUUGAUAGUUGAACACAGAAAAAUGAACACAGGAACACUGCUUAGGGCCUAGAAUGCAAAAGGAAUGCUUAUUGCUUGUUUCCAUCAUCAAUCCAAUUGUCAUUAUACUACUGCUAA